GUCGAACGGUGACGGAGGAGCUUGCUUCUUCUGAUCAGUGGCGAACGGGUGAGUAACACGUGAGUAACCUGCCCCAAACUCUGGGAUAAGCACUGGAAACGGUGUCUAAUACCGGAUAUGAGCUUCAGCCGCAUGGCUAGGAGUUGGAAAGAAUUUCGGUUUGGGAUGGACUCGCGGCCUAUCAGCUAGUUGGUGAGGUAAUGGCUCACCAAGGCGACGACGGGUAGCCGGCCUGAGAGGGUGACCGGCCACACUGGGACUGAGACACGGCCCAGACUCCUACGGGAGGCAGCAGUGGGGAAUAUUGCACAAUGGGCGCAAGCCUGAUGCAGCAACGCCGCGUGAGGGACGACGGCCUUCGGGUUGUAAACCUCUUUUAGUAGGGAAGAAGCGUAAUAGUGACGGUACCUGCAGAAAAAGCACCGGCUAACUACGUGCCAGCAGCCGCGGUAAUACGUAGGGUGCAAGCGUUGUCCGGAAUUAUUGGGCGUAAAGAGCUCGUAGGCGGUUUGUCGCGUCUGCUGUGAAAACCCGAGGCUCAACCUCGGGCCUGCAGUGGGUACGGGCAGACUAGAGUGCGGUAGGGGAGAUUGGAAUUCCUGGUGUAGCGGUGGAAUGCGCAGAUAUCAGGAGGAACACCAAUGGCGAAGGCAGAUCUCUGGGCCGUAACUGACGCUGAGGAGCGAAAGCAUGGGGAGCGAACAGGAUUAGAUACCCUGGUAGUCCAUGCCGUAAACGUUGGGAACUAGAUGUGGGGACCAUUCCACGGUCUCCGUGUCGCAGCUAACGCAUUAAGUUCCCCGCCUGGGGAGUACGGCCGCAAGGCUAAAACUCAAAGGAAUUGACGGGGGCCCGCACAAGCGGCGGAGCAUGCGGAUUAAUUCGAUGCAACGCGAAGAACCUUACCAAGGCUUGACAUAUAGAGGAAACGGUUGGAAA
rnacentral:rRNA from 1 species